GGGCCCAUAGCUCAACGGUUAGAGCAGCGGACUCAUAAUCCGUUGGUUCGGGGUUCGAAUCCCUGUGGGCCCAC
rnacentral:tRNA from 1 species